ACAGGGAUUGCCCUAGUAACGGCGAGUGAAGCGGCAACAGCUCAAAUUUGAAAUCUGGCGUCUUUGGCGUCCGAGUUGUAAUUUGCAGAGGGCGCUUUGGCAUUGGCAGCGGUCCAAGUUCCUUGGAACAGGACGUCACAGAGGGUGAGAAUCCCGUACGUGGUCGCUAGCCUUUACCGUGUAAAGCCCCUUCGACGAGUCGAGUUGUUUGGGAAUGCAGCUCUAAAUGGGAGGUAAAUUUCUUCUAAAGCUAAAUACUGGCCAGAGACCGAUAGCGCACAAGUAGAGUGAUCGAAAGAUGAAAAGCACUUUGGAAAGAGAGUUAAAAAGCACGUGAAAUUGUUGAAAGGGAAGCGCUUGCAGCCAGACUUGCCUGUAGUUGCUCAUCCGGGUUUCUACCCGGUGCACUCUUCUAUAGGCAGGCCAGCAUCAGUUUGGGCGGUUGGAUAAAGGUCUCUGUCAUGUACCUCUCUUCGGGGAGAACUUAUAGGGGAGACGACAUGCAACCAGCCUGGACUGAG
rnacentral:rRNA from 3 species